rnacentral:piRNA from 1 species
UCAACAGGUGUAAAACNGGCAGAGCAUUC